AGAAAGAAAGAAAGAAAGAAAGAAAGAAAGAAAGAAAGAAAGAAAGAAAGAAAGAAAGAAAGAAAGAAAGAAGAAAGAAAGAAAGAAAGAAAGAACCUAAGAGGUAGAAACACUCUUGGUCACCGGGGCAACUUCUGCCUGUCCAAUACAUCCCUUGACUAACAAUUUGUUCGCCAAUCUUUAGCCACUUCACGUCUACGGCACCAACUAGAACUUCACAAGGGUUUCCUGCUAUCACCUAAGUCCCUCCACCUCCGGGGCCUGACACCAGCCAGGAAACAGAGGGGAAGAGGAAGUGAAAAAGGAGGACGAAGAGAAAGAAGAAGGCUGCUGGAUUGCUUUAAACACUUUGAGCACCAGUGGAUGAACAUAGUUACGUGCCCAGACUCCUGCCAACACUAGAUAUUCUCAUUUUACUUAAAAAUAAAUAAGU